rnacentral:lncRNA from 1 species
AAAAAACAAAAAUCAUUAGUUUCUGCGUUUUUGCAAAACUAGACUAUCUUUUUAUUUUUAUAAAUUUGUGUUAAUUUUUUUUUUAAACUGACCAAAAUAUUCCUGUACCUUAAACAUCUCAUCUCUUUUUCUUUGUCUACCUCCUCAUGGGUCCAUAUCUCUACCGCCAGUGGCAGUCUAGAGCGCUCAUCCUACCUUCGCUGCCUCCAUACCAAUCCUCCAUUACGUCGACGUCGUGGUGUUGCUCACAAGCGAGAAUAAGAAGGUGAACUUGACAUGCUCAUCGCCGUGACCGUUCAGAGCUAUGUCGGAAAUGAAAAAUACGGCGGCAAAGAAGGAGGGAGACGAUCGUUAGUCAGGAUGUAUCCAAAGCACGUUCGCGACACGAAGCAUGACCGAUUACAAUGAGAUAGUGACGGUAAUAGGAAAGAAAAAUCUAGCAGAUAAUGUGGUAUUGCACUAUUUAAGAAAAUAGAUUAUUUAAAUAUAUAUUGCAUUAUUUAGUAAUAAAAUCGAACAAUUUUAUAGUUUAUUAUCUGUGUCAAAAUGCAAUAUAUAUUGAAAUAAUGCAACUUUUUUAAAAUACUGAAACAUCACGUCGUCCGCAAUAUUUUUCUUCUCUCACUACCGUCAUUCUCAACAAACGAUCAUCGCUCUCCUCCUCCCUCACCUCCGUCUUUAUCUCCGACGACACUACGAUCAGUGCCACCAUCUUUUUUAUCGCGAUGAUCACAUUGGAGAACGCUAAAAACAGCUAUGGUCAAAAAUGAGCCAAGCUUCGUCAUCAUCCUCUCUAUUUGCGGGUGAGAUAAAGAAGAAGUGCGAAAGAAAAGUGGGGCGAUGGAAGAGAAGUGUGAGACAACGGAAGAAGAAAAAAACAAUGAGGGAGAAAGAAAUAGUAGAAAUAUUUUGAUUAGUUAAAAAAAAAAUCGUAUGAAUUUGCAAAAACUAAAAAAUGGCCCACUUUUAUAAAAUUUCAAAAUUAGUAAAUUUUCUAUAUAAAAUGACCAAUAAUAAUAAUAGUCUUAAUGGUAAACUUUAAUUUAUUCAUUUGUGAUUCAAAAAGUUAUAUCUAAACAUUUUAUAAUUUUAAUUUUAGUUGACAGUAAGAAUCUACUAUCAAAUAUCAAAAUAAUAUUUUUUACAAACUUUUAGAUGAUAAAGUAUAAAUUAUAAAAUAAUAAUAUGCUAUAUUAUAUUGCAUUAUAAUUCAUAAAAAAUAUUAUUUUAAUAUUUUAUUUAGCUGUAUGUCCUCACAAUAAAAAAAAUUAAUACUCUAUAAUAGUUUAGUGUGAUAUUUAAAUUACAAAUAAAAAGGCUAAAUUACAGAAAAUUCUACUGUAAAUAUUCGUUUUUUUACUUUUUUUUCAUGACUUUAAAAAACUCAAUUUUGCCCCUUAAAAUUUUAGAAAUAUUUUUAGGGAGUACCGCAUUAAUGGAGAGGGUAAAAUGAUCAAUUUGCCCUCACUACUUCUAUAAAAAAAUAUAUAUUUUUAUGUAUUUUUAUUUUAAAAAGCAUUUUCGGUAUAAAUUAUAAAAAUAAACGGAAUAUUGGGGGAGUAAAGUAUAGAUUUUUUAAAAUUAGAAAGGAAUAAAAAAGAUAUUUAUAAGGGAGUUUUCUAUAAUUUAGCAAAAUAAAAAAGUAAAAAUGCGCCUUAGCAUAGUUCCAAUUGCUGUACUUGGGUCUCUUCGUGAGGUUACCAUUGUAGCUGUUAAAAUUAAAUAUAUCAAAUCAAAUACCGAAUUUGUAUUUAUAUAUAGUUACAACUGCAAUACAAUUAUAACUACAUGCAACCAAACGGUCCCUAAACUGCACAAGGCAAAUUUCGAAAAUACCACAAAAAAACUGCACAAAU